GGAGCUUCGAGCCCCCUUCCAUGGGCGCGC
rnacentral:sRNA from 1 species